UUCAGAUCGAUUAUGGUUAGGUUUAGGGUUUCGAUUCAUACGAAAAAGAGAGAGAAAGGAAGAGUUGGGCAAGGACACCAUUAAGCCCCUCGACACUUGCUGCCUCUGCCUCAAGCCCUUCAUCGACCAUCUCUGCUGCCAGUAAGGUCAUGUCUUCUACAAGGAAUGAAUUCUCGAAUGCCUCCUUUCUCAAAAGAAAGACAACCAAAGAAAUUUCAAUAGGCUUUCGAUUGAGUUAAGAGUGGCUUACGAGGGACUUUUGGGAAGAGAUCCAGAAUGUAAUAUGGGACAGACAUAAAGCAUUGAGGCCCGAUGAUGUCACCAUGGAUUUCUUCCUAACUUCUUUGGAUGUUAUUUGUAGCAACAGGUGUGCAUCAUGUUCCUUGUUUUUUUUUUUUUUUGUAUAUAUUUCAGAAGUUAUAUGGUGUACGGGGACCAUUUCAGGUGAUCCAGACUAUUGAUAUGAUGUGCGUUCUAGUGGAUGGACCGUAUGUGGAAAGCCUUGAGGAUUGGUAGAGAUGAUUUCCAUAUUUCAUAGAGUUCUUUUAAUGAGUUCUUAAGAAUGCCUAGUAGAUGUUUGUGGAAAUGCCAAGGAGAAGGCUGGUAGCCCUGGGGUGUACCGCCUUGAUUAAAUUUUGUUCUCUUUGAAUUGGAUUGGUUUGGAUUCGAUUGAAAAUUUCUUGUUGGCUUCAUGUUGGCUUGCUUACAUGAUGCGAAUUGCUUGCAAUUUUUUGUUACAUAAUAGAGAAUCAUAUAUGCUUAAUAUAUAUAGAAAAAUGUGCUGCCAGCUAUUCUCCUGCAUUUUUGUUCUUGUAAUAUCCAUUGAUUUUUCCAUUUUAGUCACUAAAUUGACUAUAGGGAUCUUAUUUUUUUAGAUUUUUUCCCCUUCUUUUGGAAGUUAUGUUUUGUAUUUUCUUGCUGCCUUUGUGUGAUUUAAUAACAAGCAUCACAAAAAUCCAUCCCUUUUUGCAUCUGUCCAGGGAUUUGAGUGACAAUGAGUUAGUCGGCACAAUUCCACCAAUACUAGAUAUGAGUUAGUCCAGUGUUUCAGAUUUCAUUUUUAUUUUUACCUGGGUUUCAAAUGAAUUGUUUUUGUGAUGGGUUGUCUGCUACUUGGUUCAAUGGGACCACCAAUAAAGUGGCGAGCGGGACUUUGUAGAAAGCAAGUUGGGCGAGGGUCAUACAGAGGUAGAUAGUAGAGUGUUGUUUGUUGACUUCGCGAUAUCGUUUUCGACAGUGUUGGGCGUGUUUGGUUCGCUGUUUGUUCUCUCAGCAGAUCGGAAGUGCUACUACACGGAGGCAGUUGCUGAGGAGCCUUUGCCACAAUACACUAUGGAAAGGUCUUCUUCAUGUCUUCUUUGCUCAACGUGCAACAUCAAAGGUAUUUCUCUUGAUUUAAUGGUCUCAUGCAGCUAGCUUUCUACAACUUACCGUUUAGGCACGUGUUUUGUUUUCUUCUUGAGCAGCUUCUCUUUUGGAACUACUAUACAGUUGGCCACGUUUUGGCGGAAGAUUUUUCUGAUUAUUUGUUAGUGGAAGCUGUUCUCCUAUACAUUUGUCAACAUUUGGGUGGAGGCAUUCUAUGCUUGGAAUGCAUUUUGAUAGCGGAAGCUGUUCCUCUUAUUUCAUGUUUGAUUUUUAGGUGAAUUGCAUUGGUAUUGCCAAUUAUUUGCUCAUUGUGAUUUGCUUUCACUACAACAAAUACGUGCGUUACUGGCGCUAGUGGCCCCCGUACCGUAAGAAUUGCCAGCGCUGUCUUGUGGCUGCCCGUAAGUUUGGAUCAGGGAAAGAGGAGAAAUGAGAACCUGCCUAUUAAGUUUCCCAUUCCCUUCUCUGCACCAAAUGCAAGGGGGAUUGGUUCUAGAGUUCAGUGGAAAAGCAGAACUAUUGUUUGGAUUACCAAAACAGGCCCUAAGGUCUACUAUUUAUCUGCUGGAAUCAGUUUCAUCUGAUUAGGUAGUUCAUUGAAAAGGAGAAGUUUUACAAAUUAUGUUGCUUUACUGUCACAUUUUUUGCCUUUGGUGUGGUGGGUGACUGCUUCAUGUGGUGGACGGUGACAUGCAUAAUUUGCGGACUGUAACUCUGAAGCAGCAGCAUCAUCAGUUAUAAGUUCAAACUUCCCUUUCUCUUUGUUUCUGUCCUUGAAUUACUUUCAUGAAUUUGGAACUGUUCUUUGGAAAAUUUUCGCAGGUUAAAACCAGGACAACAAACCAUAACACAUACAAUUUGAGCUCCCAUGUUAUGCAAUAUGGCGAUGUUGGGCUUAGCAAGGAGCAUGUCUUCUUGUAUAUUGGAGGUUCCUGACUAUGCAUCUCAUCUUAAAUCUGUUGAACUGUUGGAGUCUAAACCUUUGAAGGGUCUGAGGGUCAGGUUGAUUCAUGAAACUCUUGGAGAUGGUGUUGAUGGGGGAGUAAUAUCCUCUAUUAAAGCUGCUGCUUCACACUUUGAAGAACUUGGAUCUGUCGUGACAAGAGGUAUCACUCCCUUCUUUUUCUCUCGGGUUACUAGCCUACCAUAUUCUAGCUUCAUCAGUCUUCUUCUAAUUUAUCACGUUACGAUGGUAUAAGAUAUGGAAAACAAGUUGCAGUAGAUGAACUAAUUUCUCUCUAUGGAGAUUCUCAAGCUAAUGGUUUUGGUCCUUAGGUCAAGAUGAGAAUUUUAAUGGGAACUUGUGCUCUUUCUGCUGGAUAUUAUGAUGCAUAUUACAAACUUGCCCAGCAGUGUUUUAGGUGAGGACCUUGGUUCAGAAAAGCUUCAAGGCAGCAUUGGAUGAAAAUGACAUCCUCCUUUCAUCUGCUGCACCAUCAGCGGCUUAUAAGAUAGUGUUGUUUGAAGGUGAAAAGAUAAGAUCCUCUGGCAAUGUAUGCAGGUGACAUCAUGACUGUAAUCCUCUGCCGCUCUAUGCUUAUCAACGCAUUGCAGUUUUUUUCUAUUCCGAAUAAGUGCAUCAUUAUUUUGAAAAUAAAUAUUUUUUUUAAAGAUUGUUUGAAAAAUAAAUAAAUGAUCUUUGCACAUACAAAUCUGCUGAAUGAAUGGAAUUUAGUUUAUUCAACUCAGC